rnacentral:rRNA from 1 species
GAACCGUCCUAAACGUUAUUCGGAAUUACUGGGCGUUAAAGGGUGCGUAGGCGGCUUGGCAAGGUUGGGUGUGAAAUCCCUCGGGCUCAACCGAGGGAACUGCGCUCAAAACUGCCAGGCUAGAGGAAGAUAGAGGUGAGCGGAACUAAUGGUGGAGCGGUGAAAUGCGUUGAUAUCAUUAGGAACACCUGUGGCGAAAGCGGCUCACUGGGUCGUUUUCUGACGCUGAGGCACGAAAGCUAGGGUAGCGAACGGGAUUAGAUACCCCGGUAGUCCUAGCCGUAAGCGAUGAGCACUAGGUUGGAGGCUCCUUCAUAGGCUUCCGACCGAAGCGAAAGUGUUAAGUGCUCCGCCUGGGGAGUAUGGUCGCAAAGGCUG